rnacentral:rRNA from 1 species
GACGAACGCUGGCGGCGUGCUUAACACAUGCAAGUCGAACGGUAAGGCCCUUCGGGGUACACGAGUGGCGAACGGGUGCGUAACACGUGGGUGAUCUGCCCUGCACUUCGGGCUAAGCCUGGGAAACUGGCUCUAAUACCGGAUAGGACCACUGCCUGCAUGGCUGGGGGUGGAAAGCUCUUGCGGUGUGGGAGGGGCCCGCGGCCUAUCAGCUUGUUGGGGGGGUGAUGGCCUACCAAGGCGACGACGGGUAGCCGGCCUGAGAGGGUGACCGGCCACACUGGGACUGAGAUACGGCCCAGACUCCUACGGGAGGCAGCAGUGGGGAAUAUUGCACAAUGGGCGCAAGCCUGAUGCAGCGACGCCGCGUGAGGGAUGACGGCCUUCGGGUUGUAAACCUCUUUCAGCACCGACGAAGCGCAAGUGACGGUAGGUGCAGAAGAAGGACCGGCCAACUACGUGCCAGCCGCCGCGGUAA